CGGGAUACUUCGAUAACCCGAACCCAAACUUUAGACGCCGAACUUAAAACACAAGUUCGCUCAACACUACUAGUGAUGUAUGCACUAUGUGGCCAUCUUUGGUACUCCAUAUAUUGGCAAAAUAAAGGUCUCCUGACCCCUGGGAGUGCCCCAUACAAGCACAGUCUUUUCCUUUCUGGAGUUCAUAGAUGGAGAAGUGAAAUCCCAUUCUCCUGACAGGUAGGAGCCCGGGGAGAAGAACCUGCACAUAUCAGAUAUUUAUGACAUAUACAGUACAUAAAUGUCUCAGAUGACUGAAACCUCUUCAAGUUCUAUUGCGGUUCUUGGGAUGGGUUAAAUCUGACAAUGAGACC